rnacentral:rRNA from 1 species
UUUUAUGAGAGUUUGAUCCUGGCUCAGGACGAACGCUGGCGGCGUGCCUAAUACAUGCAAGUCGAACGCAUUUUCU